rnacentral:rRNA from 1 species
GACGAACGCUGGCGGCGUGCUUAAUACAUGCAAGUCAACGACUUUUAGAGUAGCAAUAUUCUAAAGGAAGUGGCGCACGGGUGAGUAACACGUAGGUAAUCUGCCUUCAGGACUGACACAACUCGUCGAAAGACGGGCUAAUAUCAGAUAAUGCAGCGGCUCCGCAUGGAGACAGUUGUUAAAGUACAAGCGCCUGAAGAUGAGCCUGCGGUCCAUUAGCUAGUUGGUAGAGUAAAAGCCUACCAAGGCAACGAUGGAUAGCUGGUCUGAGAGGAUGAUCAGCCACACUGGAACUGAGACACGGUCCAGACUCCUACGGGAGGCAGCAGUAAGGAAUAUUGCUCAAUGGCCGAAAGGCUGAAGCAGCAAACGCCGCGUGAAGGAUGAAUGGCCUUUGG